rnacentral:rRNA from 1 species
UACGGGGGGGCAAGCGUUGUUCGGAAUUACUGGGCGUAAAGGGUUCGUAGGUGGCCUGCUAAGUCACACGUGAAAUCCCUCAGCUUAACUGGGGAACUGCGUCUGAUACUGGGAGGCUUGAGUGCGGGAGAGGGAUGUGGAAUUCCAGGUGUAGCGGUGAAAUGCGUAGAUAUCUGGAGGAACACCGGUGGCGAAGGCGGCAUCCUGGACCGACACUGACGCUGAGGCGCGAAAAGCU